AGUAACGGAGGAGCACGAAGGUUUGCUAAGUACGGUCGGACAUCGUACGGUUAGUGUAAUGGUAGAAGCAAGCUUAACUGCGAGACAGACACGUCGAGCAGGUACGAAAGUAGGUCAUAGUGAUCCGGUGGUUCUGAAUGGAAGGGCCAUCGCUCAACGGAUAAAAGGUACUCCGGGGAUAACAGGCUGAUACCGCCCAAGAGUUCAUAUCGACGGCGGUGUUUGGCACCUCGAUGUCGGCUC
rnacentral:rRNA from 1 species